GACGAACGCUGGCGGCGUGCUUAACACAUGCAAGUCGAACGGGAAGGCGCUGCUUUUGUGCGUUGCUCAAGUGGCGAACGGGUGAGUAAGACGUGAGUAACCUGCCCAGGAAGUGAGGAUAACUUCAGGCAACUGGGGCGAAUAGCGAAUGGCAGCUGCUCCUGCAUGGUGGGGGUUGGAAAGUGUCGGCGGGUGGGGAUGGACUCUCGGCUUAUCAGCUUGUUGGUGGGGUGGUGGAUUACCACGGGUUUGGGGGGUAGCCCGCCUGAGAGGGUGAGCGGGCACACUGGGACUGAGAUACGCCCCAGACACCUACGCGAGGGAGCAGAGUGGAAUAUAGCAGAAUGGGCGGACGCCUGAUGCAGCAACGUCGCGUGCGGGAUGUGGGCCUUCGGGUUGUAAAACGCUUUUGCCUGUGACGAAGAGAGAAUGACGGUAACUGGUAAAGAAGCAACGGCUAAAUACGUG
rnacentral:rRNA from 1 species